AACGAACCGCUGGCGGCAGGCCUAACACAUGCAAGUCGAGCGCGCCUUCGGGUGAGCGGCGGACGGGUUAGUAACGCGUGGGAACGUACCCUUCUCUACGGAAUAGCCUUUGGAAACGAAGAGUAAUACCGUAUACGCCCUUUGGGGGAAAGAUUUAUCGGAGAAGGAUCGGCCCGCGUUAGAUUAGAUAGUUGGUGGGGUAACGGCCUACCAAGUCUACGAUCUAUAGCUGGUUUUAGAGGAUGAUCAGCAACACUGGGACUGAGACACGGCCCAGACUCCUACGGGAGGCAGCAGUGGGGAAUCUUAGACAAUGGGCGCAAGCCUGAUCUAGCCAUGCCGCGUGAGUGAUGAAGGCCUUAGGGUCGUAAAGCUCUUUCGCCUGUGAUGAUAAUGACAGUAGCAGGUAAAGAAACCCCGGCUAACUCCGUGCCAGCAGCCGCGGUAAUACGGAGGGGGUUAGCGUUGUUCGGAAUUACUGGGCGUAAAGCGCACGUAGGCGGAUUGGAAAGUUGGGGGUGAAAUCCCGGGGCUCAACCCCGGAACUGCCUCCAAAACUAUCAGUCUAGAGUUCGAGAGAGGUGAGUGGAAUUCCAAGUGUAGAGGUGAAAUUCGUAGAUAUUUGGAGGAACACCAGUGGCGAAGGCGGCUCACUGGCUCGAUACUGACGCUGA
rnacentral:rRNA from 1 species